GUUUGAUCCUGGCUCAGAAUGAACGCUGGCGGCGUGCUUUACACAUGCAAGUCGAGCGAGGCGUCCCGCAAGGGAUAGUCGAGCGGCGAACGGGUGAGUAACGCGUGGAUAACCUGCCCUGAGGUGGGGGAUAACCAGGGGAAACUCUGGCUAAUACCGCAUGAUACCGAGAGGUCAAAGGGGGCUCGCAAGGGCUCUCGCCAUAGGAGGGGUCCGCGUACGAUUAGCUAGUUGGUAGGGUAAUGGCCUACCAAGGCGACGAUCGUUAGCCGGCCUGAGAGGGUGAUCGGCCACACUGGAACUGAGACACGGUCCAGACUCCUACGGGAGGCAGCAGUGGGGAAUUUUGCGCAAUGGGCUAACGCCUGACGCAGCAACGCCGCGUGGAGGAUGAAGGUCCUUGGAUUGUAAA
rnacentral:rRNA from 1 species